rnacentral:tmRNA from 1 species
AGUAUAGUAGAUCAGCUUUAUUCGCGUAACAGUUACGCGGACGAGACAUCGCCCGAGAGUCCUGGACCCGAGACUCCUCGAUAAGGCGGUGCAGCUAAAUCGGGUAUAGGGAAAGCCGAGCUUCGAGGUUUGCCCGAAAUUUUAGAAGCUAAGGCCAUGGUUGGAGGUUCCGUUCCUGCCACGGCUCGAAAACCAACUCGGGAAUAAGCAUGUAGAAAACUCAUCAAUUCCACGUUUGGACGGGGGUUCAAAUCCCCCCAACUCCACCC